rnacentral:rRNA from 1 species
CUGGCGGCGUGCUUAACACAUGCAAGUCGAACGGAAAGGCCCUGCUUGCAGGGUACUCGAGUGGCGAACGGGUGAGUAACACGUGGGUGAUCUGCCCUGCACUUCGGGAUAAGCUUGGGAAACUGGGUCUAAUACCGGAUAGGAACCAUCUUUAGUGUGGUGGUUGGAAAGUUUUUUCGGUGUAGGAUGAGCUCGCGGCCUAUCAGCUUGUUGGUGGGGUAAUGGCCUACCAAGGCGGCGACGGGUAGCCGGCCUGAGAGGGUGUACGGCCACAUUGGGACUGAGAUACGGCCCAGACUCCUACGGGAGGCAGCAGUGGGGAAUAUUGCACAAUGGGCGCAAGCCUGAUGCAGCGACGCCGCGUGGGGGAUGAAGGCCUUCGGGUUGUAAACUCCUUUCGCUAGGGACGAAGCUUUUUGGUGACGGUACCUAGAUAAGAAGCACCGGCUAACUACGUGCCAGCAGCCGCGGUAAUACGUAGGGUGCGAGCGUUGUCCGGAAUUACUGGGCGUAAAGGGCUCGUAGGUGGUUUGUCGCGUCGUCUGUGAAAUUCUGGGGCUUAACUCCGGGCGUGCAGGCGAUACGGGCAUAACUUGAGUGCUGUAGGGGUAACUGGAAUUCCUGGUGUAGCGGUGAAAUGCGCAGAUAUCAGGAGGAACACCGAUGGCGAAGGCAGGUUACUGGGCAGUUACUGACGCUGAGGAGCGAAA